rnacentral:rRNA from 1 species
UACAGAGGGUGCAAGCGUUAAUCGGAAUUACUGGGCGUAAAGCGCACGUAGGCGGCCUGUUAAGUCGGAUGUGAAAUCCCUUGGCUCAACCGAGGACGUGCACCCGAAACUGGCGGGCUCGAGUAUGGAAGAGGGUCGCAGAAUUCCCGGUGUAGAGGUGAAAUUCGUAGAUAUCGGGAGGAAUACCAGUGGCGAAGGCGGCGACCUGGGCCAAUACUGACGCUGAGGUGCGAAAGCGUGGGGAGCAAACAGG